UUUCGUUGCCCUUCUCUGGACACACUCCAGGGCCUCAAUAUCUUCCUUGUAGUGAGGGGCUCAAAACACAGUACGCGACGUGCAGCCUCACCAGGCUAAGCACAGGGGGAUGAUUACAUCUCUGCUCCUGCUGGCCACACUAUUUCUAAUGCAGGCAAUUCUGUCCUGCAGCUAGAGACCAGAAAUCCUUUGACCAAUUGUAGGAGAAGCUUCUAAACUGGUUGUUUGUCUGAAGGUUAGCUUCUGCUGUCCUAAAAAAACUGAUACAGCCCCUGACCAGCAGACAAGACAGCUAGAAGCUGAGCUAUUGUGACUUUAAGGGUUGUCCCCUGAGACUGGAAAACAUGACUGGAUUUGCCCUUCAGUUUGAUUUCACAAGAGACCUGCCAAUUAGGAUUUGCUCCUGUAUAAUGAAGUGGGCUAGUGGAAGUAUGUAAUCCUUUAUUGGAUGCCUGGGGCUCAACAAAAUGAAAUUAUAUAGAAAUGAAUGGAAUACACUAUACAUUGUGCUUUGGUUUUCACUUGAUAUUUAUUUUUGUAAGUGCUUGUUUUAGUUUUGUUUUAACACAUCUGCUUUUGGUUAUGCCUGAUUGUAUGAAACAUCAUCUUGUGUCUGUGAGCCAGGACUGCGCUUACUCCUCUUCAUGAACCUGAAAUGCAAUUGGGAAAGUAUAUAGCUGUUGAAAAACAAAGCACUGCAGGGGAUUUAGGGCCACGUGUUGACUUGGUUGCUUCUGCAGCAUGUCUGUUAGCAUGGCUGAGCUGGAUUUCCAUCUCGUUGAGGUCUCCUUCCAUCUUCUUCUUCAGCCGAAUGGCCUCAUUUCUGCUCCGGGCUUCAGAAUCGAGGGUGGACUGCAGAGAAUCUAUGGUGACCCAACAGACCAGCCUUGAAGAACACCUGGUACAUGCACAGAUGCCAUUUGAUGACAAUGACUAGUUUUCUUCCAAAGUAUACAAGCAGUUAGCUAUACACACAUUGUUGUAAUUGUUCAGAAUAAUGGUAGUUCUGUUGGCACAUUUAUUAAGAAAUAAGAUGAUACUUGCAUUAAUAAGAAAUAAGGUACUUUCAUUAGGGACUGCACUGUUCCACUGUUUCUUUAGAAUCAAAUCUCAUGUUCCUAGUUUUGAAUAAGUGAAACUGUUUUAUUGACAUUCUCCAAAGUACAUUUCAGCUGUGACAGGGUUCAGUGCAGGUCGGCUAAACCACUGUCAGGUCCCUACUAAUGGGAUCAUGUCACACAGCUUCGUUAAAAAAGCUGCAGCUGACCUCAUGGUGCAAAUGAGCUAGUAUUUUACUGGGGAGCAUGGAAUAUCAGCUGCUCUUGUGUUUGUUUGUACUGUUGCUGUAAUACAAGCUUUUUGGGAGCUUAAGCUAGAGAAAUAACUUUCCUCUAGCACAGUUUAAAAUUAAUUUUGGUUUUCUGCUAUACUGCUAGUUCCUAUAUUAUCAACUCCUCAUUAACUGACACAACCAGAGGUUGCAUAGAGUCCUAUUCUGCGGAUUAGAUCCCUUGCCUUUCUCUUUACACAUUCAUUAAUCAUCUUUCUCUGGUUACCUUAGUAUGCCCGAAACGAUAUUGGUUAUGGUCAAUAUCUAAAGAUGCCAGUAGUUUUUCGGCAGCUUUCCUGCUAUCCACAAACUUAUCCUCUGGGAUUGCACCUGGAUUCAGAAUGCGGUACCUGUUAACAACAGAGGAGCAAUAAAUGAAACUAGCAUAGUGGCCUGGACUAAUUUCCUACUUUGCAUCUACACAACCGCAAGAGCAGAGUUCUGCCUUCCACAUUCAGACCAAGAGAAUGGAAAAUAAACUGGAAUGGAAUAAAACAUUUCCAAUUAAAAAUGAGAAGGCAUGCUUUGCUUAUUUUGUCUGUUGGGACAGGACGGGAGACAACACAGCUCUGCAUUACCUUUGUUUAAAGUCAGCAUAAAGCACCCUGUUUGGGAAACCCUUACGGCAAAUGCGAAUGCCUUCCAGGACGCCAUUACAGCGGAGCUGAUGCAAGACAAGAAAAGCAUCCAUUGCACCUACAGGGGAGAAACAAAGCUAAACUCUUCCAUAGGGCUUAAUCUUCAUUUCACCAAGGGAACUAAAAAAAGUGAGGUGCCAUCUCACAAAAGGGCAACAUCAUGGGAUUAGGUGAACCACAUACAUAGACAAUAUUCAAAUUCAUUCCAGGGGGCUUGCAAGUAAAUACUGGAAUUACGUUGUUCAAAUAUUCUGAGGUUUUAAGACAGCUGUGUUUUCCAUACCUGGUGUUUUUGAUUCGUUGGGAAUAAUGCAUCGUACGAAGUGAGGGGCUGUAGAUUUUAGGUUAGUCAUUAGUUUAUUUAAAUUUUCCUGGAACAGACAUACAAAAAACACAUUGAGCUUUAAUGGUUUUGUUGAAUUUUCAUCACUUAUUUCUUUGGUUUCUUGGUUAAGCUUAUUAAAGUCAUUUCUCUAAGUAGUCCUCAAUAAGAUUAUGAGCUUAAAAAGUCAUUAAAAAUAAAUGAUUUCAAAUAAAUCAAAGCAUAAAUUAACUUUAUUGUACAAGUCAACAUUUGUUUUAGGAAAAUCUUAAGAAGAUGUAUUUUACUUACAGACCCAAAAGUGUCACAAACCGUGUGUAGUGCCAGCAAGAUGCAGUAUCAUGCCACAGAACAUUCCUGUAAAACUAGUGUUUUGCAUUUCUUCUUCUUACACUAACUACAGGACAUAUUCUUCAGGUAAUGGUACAUGAA